rnacentral:rRNA from 1 species
AUGGACCGUUGUUGGACUUCUGACAGGCUGGCACGCCGUGGCCUGCCACACCAGGAUGUGUGUCCUUUUUGCGACCAGCACGACGAAACGAUCAACCACCUACUCGUGGAGUGCGUGCUAGCCAGGGAGGUUUGGACCCGGGUCUUCUCUGCCCUAGGCACUCCGGGUAGCGCGCCGCAGGCAGGAGAGGCAUUGCAGGCAUGGUGCACAAGGCAGAGCGCGCGUGAGCAUCACGCGAAGACGAUCCGCACCAUCUGCCUGCUAACCCUAUGGGAGUUAUGGAAGCACAGGAACGCUAUAGUAUUUGAUGGGGCGGCGGUAUGCCUGGCACGACUUAUGGACAGAAUCGUAAGUGAGAGCAGGGUUUGGAAGCGGGCGGGGCGACUUAGCGGCGGCCUUCAUAGCGGCACCGGAGUGGGCACAGGGCGAGUAGUCAGCUUAGUGCAACGGCGGACGGCGAUGUAA